rnacentral:rRNA from 1 species
UACGGAGGGGGCUAGCGUUGUUCGGAAUUACUGGGCGUAAAGCGCGCGUAGGCGGACCUGCAAGUCGGGGGUGAAAGCUCGGGGCUCAACCCCGGGUCGGCCGUGCGAACUACUGGGCUGGAGCACUGUAGAGGCAGGCGGAAUUCCGGGUGUAGCGGUGGAAUGCGUAGAGAUCCGGAAGAACACCGGUGGCGAAGGCGGCCUGCUGGGCAGUUGCUGACACUGAGGCGCGACAGCGUGGGGAGCAAACAGG